CGUGCUCAGCACCGAGGGUGUCGAGGGUGUCGGGCAGACAGGACAGGUAGAGGAGUGAGCGCUAUAUGAAAGGGCGCUGAGGAGGGUGGGGGCCCAGCAGGCACAGGCUCAGGGAGAGGCAAAGCCAGGAGCGUGGCAGCGGCAGCCCGGGCGCCAAGAAGCAAGGCAGACUGGGGGUCUUGGCCCCACCCUCAGGCUCAAGGCUCAACCCCAACCUGAUCACACAGCCAUCCCCACCAGCCCCAAAGCCGUGCCUGCCCUCCUGUAGUUGGGGUCUGAGCCACAGCGAGGCUCUGGGCUAGCCUCAGUGCGAGUCCCACUCGCUCUGUAGUGGCUCAGACCAGGUACUCAACCUCUCUGCCCGGACUCCAGUGGACAGAUGGGGCCAACGACAGGGAACCCUGGGCAGGCUGCUGGGAGGAGGGAACGCACUCAUGCACACAAAGGGCAGUGUGGGGCCUGGCACACGGAGCGCGCUCCCCAACGCGACGUCUCCGCGGCCGCUGCUGAUGUCAUCGUCAGGCUUUUUCCUACCCCCUGGGCUGAAGGGCUCUCAGACACAGGUGGUGACCGGAGACACGGACCCCCCGGCCACGGGCACCAGUCACCAGGCUCGGCGGGCAGGAUUCUCACCAUCAGGAUCAAACUCAGUCUUUCCCACCUUAAGACACUCAAGCAAAACCUCACUAGACGUGUCUACGCAGCCAAAGGCUGCCCUAGCUUCUCCUGCCCCAUGCCGAACUCUCCAAAGCAUUCCUCCACUGCCGCCAGCACGCCCGCCUCCUGCACUUCCCUGCUCUGCUUCUUGUUUGUUUCCAUGGCCGAGCAGUGCUCGGGUGGCCAGCCUGUCAUCGCCAGAAGUGGCUCUGCACUGGGCACCCGUGGGGGAAGCCUGUGGGCUCCCCCUGGAGGAGCGGCACACACACAGUUAAAGACCACAAGUGGCAGGAGCUGUGCCACGCAGGGCAGUGGGAUCACAGGGGCCUCUGACCCAGUCUGGAGCCAUGGGGUGAAAUAAGCUCCCAGGCUGUGCCCUGAUGCCAGAGGACACCCUGCCCAGGGGCUGUGGAGGAAACGGACCCCAGGCCUUCGGUGGCACCAAGUGUUUUGAGAGGAAGAAUGCAGACGGACACUGCUGAGGCUUUCCUCCCCCUGACAUAGAGACUGGGAAUUUUUAUUUCUUUUUCCUUUAUUUAGCAAAAAAAAAAAAAUUUCGGACUUCCGUGGUGGUGCAGUAGAUAAGAAUCCACCUGCUAAAGCAAGGGACACAGGUUCGAUCCCCGGUCUGUGAAUAUUCCACGUGCAGAGGAGGAACUAAGCCCACGCACCACAGCUACUGAGCCUGAGUGCCGCAGUGAUGAAGCCGCCGAGCCGAGAGCCUGUGCUCCAACCAGAGAAACCACCGCAGGGAGGAGGAGCCUCGGCUGCGCAACUAGAAAAAGCCCACGUGCAGCCACAAAGACCUGGAGCAACCAAAAGUAAUAAGUAAAUCGAGAGAAGCUUUUUAAAAAUAAGUAAAGUAAAUUUAAGAAAUUAAGAAAAAAUUUGGGGCCACACUACACAGCUUGUGGGAUCUUAGUUCCCCAAGCAGGGAUCAAACUCACACCCCUGGCACUGGAAGCGUGGCGUCUUAAGCACUGGCCCACCAGGCGACACACCAAUUCUCCUUUGUUGGUGGGUGAGGGAUGUGGUCACUUGUGUUUUGGAAGGAUGAUCCUUCAGUGUGCUGCUCAGCACACUGAAGGGGGUGGGGGCUGGCCCACCCAGGGCCUCUGCCUGUCCCCCUCCCAUUCCAGGUUCUGUCCUCUCUCUGCACCGUCUGAGGGUGAUGCCCACCACGCUCCCACCUCCCACAGACGUGCCAGCUCCAAAACUCCCCAGAUGGUGCUCCAGCUCUGCCUUCUCUUCAGCCCCCGGCCGGGGACACUGGAGGCCAGCCAGACAUUCCUGCCUGCACGUCCCCCAGGUAGCUAACCCCUCCCCCACUCUCCCCUCGUCUGCCCCCCCACCCCUGCUCUGCGUCUCUGACCCAUCCACCCACCCACCGCAUCCUUCCUGCCAGCGCUUCAGACCGACCUCCCUGCUGAAGCCCACUUUUCUAACAUAAAUGUGAUCACAUCACCCACCCUCCUUCCGGUAAAAAUAAACAAAUAGAAACAAGAAUACCUGCUGAUGCU
rnacentral:lncRNA from 1 species